ACGGCCUAUAAUAAAAGGUAGCACGCCAAAUGAGCAAAAUGAAAAUCAAUUUUGCCUUCUGGCGCUACGUUUCAUGUCGGUGAACUUCUUUCGCGGCAAUUACAAAAUCAAAUUCCUAGGUUUCCUUCUCAAUCAGAAUUCGGCAGAAAUUCGAGCGCAAAGAAUAAUAAAUUAUUCUGUGUUAUCUACUCCACGUAUACAAUUAGCGAAGUGUACAACUAGGAUUCAGCAAAUCUCCUGUGCUUUAGUGGAGCUGCGUAGGAACCAACAAGUACUGAUGAACAGAUACAGAGCAAUGAAUUUGAAGUAAAUAGUUCGCAGUCCAACGAAUUUUCUAUAUGACGGACCUCUGGUCUCUGGACAAGUUGCUGAAUUCUGAUAAUGGUGAUCAUAUUGACUGAUUGUACAUGAAAAUUCUUUCUAUGUGAAGAUAGGAAGAACAUUUGGCACUAAUUAACAGAGUCAGAGAGACCCUUUCAUGAGUUUCAUCCAACUCCUACCUUGUGAUUUUAUGGAGGUACGCCAUUAAAUCUUUUUGAAACCAAAGUAUGGACUAGUCUUUCUUGAAUAUGACUUGGAGAUAUACUAGAUGGUUCAUUAACUGAUAGUGUCGAAUUUCUCCAAGUAAUUACGAUAAUUCAUGAUUGAAGGAAUCCAUACAAUACUGUUCUGAGUUAUUCAGUUUUGUGCCUAAGUUAGGGUCAGAUUUUUUCAAGUUGGAGAAAGAGAAAGUUUCACUUAUAUAAAUCUAAUUUAAAAAACAAAAUAUCAGCAGGAACUGUCAAACUCUUGAUGAUGAAAAUGUGAAAAUGAUCUGUCUUGAAAUGUUUCUUUCAUCUGUUGCUGCAGAUAUGAAAUAUGAAAUGAUAGAUUCUGGUAAUAAUAAGUUAAUGAUUCAAUUUAAUUUCUUUUCUUUUCUUCUAGACUUAAAAGACUUAAUCUAGAAGUGUCGCUGAAGAUAAUUAUACUGGCCUGUAAUCAACAUCAUACCUCAAAAAAAGGCACAAUCAUUAUGAUAAAAUCCGUAGAUGAUUAAGAUUAUUCAGUUAUUUCACCACUAAAAAAGGCAUUGCAUAAUUGCAUUGCUUGGCUGAUUGGAAAUACCUCAUGGAGACUUAGCAUAUAUGUAAUCCAAGUGGACCAUUCUUGAACUGAAAGCACAUAGAAUAAACCACCCUCCAUCUUUAUAGGAUUCAUCUUAAUCUGAAUAGCUUAUAGUAAUACAAAAUGCAGUAUUAGAACCCUAUAAAAGGCAAGCUUCCUAACAUAUCAUUAUAAAAGGCAAGUGUACAAUAGAGCAUCUAAACUUCAAUUCAAAGAAUUGUUUAACUUGAAUACACUUCCAUUAUGAAGGUCAAGCUGAUCCCAUCAUUCUACCGAACUCCAAAACCUUCAUCAACUACUUCGGUUUGUUACCUUGUCAAUCAGGACAGAAAACCUUUAUCAAUCCAAACACUUUCGUAUCUUGUCCCUGACAGCAAAAAUGAUUCUGUCAAUCAUCUGGACAGCUAUUUUGGUGCUGUUGCUGAUGAAUCAGUUGACAUGAAGGCCUCAAGCUACAUUUCUUCAGUUAAAGCACGCUUUAGGCAUGAACUCCCUUAUUCAGAUUGAGUAUACAUUUAGGGCCAGAGUUUUGAUAUGUUCUUUCAUACUGUGUCCGAGUCAUUAUGCUAUACCUUGUAUACAAAUUGAGGUUAUGGUAAUAACUAGUUGUCUUUGUUACUCAUUUUGAACCAUUAUUUGGAUAUAGGUGCUUAUAAAGGGUCCUUUGGUAAAAGACAAUUAUAUAUAUAAAUACAUACAAUUAUUUAUUUGUGUAAAAACUGCUUUUAUUACAAAUUAAUCUUUUUAAAUUCAAAACUGUUAUAUACCUGUGUGCAACUAUCAAAUCCUCAUAGUGAGGAACCACAAAAGGUGGAAAGUUGGCUAUAUAACUAUUAUCCAAAUUUAUAUAAAUACAUUCAGGCAUUUAUUUUAUGUAAAAGCUUCUUUUACCACAACUUGAUCCUUUUUUAAUACGAACCUGUAACAUACCUGUGUACAACUCUAUCAACUAAUCAUAGUUUGAAACCACAAAAGGCGGAAAGUUGGCUAUAAAACUAUCCAAAUAAUCCAAUUAAAGUUAAUUCUUGAGGCAUAAACCAAUGAGGAUGUAAAAAGUAUGUUCGUAUUAAUGGCAUAACAGAUGCUGUAAGACAAUCUUGCCUUGAAAGUUAAGGAUUCCUUCUGAUUGCAUCUGUAUUUUUUCCUCUUGGUAAGGUUGUUGAUUAUUCAUGAAUUCCAAUCUGUUCUUCCUUAGCAGCAUCUGGUUCUACACUUCAAUUAUUGCAAGUUCCCUUAAGGUCUAAUAAGUAACUUGUAAUGGAAGUCCAAAAGUUCGAGUGAGCCACCAAAAUUCUUUUUCCAGCAUAUUCCAUCUUAAUUGUUAAUUUUAAUACUUCGUAUUGAACUUUUUUCAUUUCUGAAAUAUACAUAUGAUGGAUCACAAGUAUUAAAAUCUUGAAAUACAACUGGUACAGACCCCAUCAAAAUCUUUCUUAUCUUGAACUUUAUUUUGAAUUAUUUUCCCAAUUAAGCUUUCUGACAUUAUUCUGCAUCCUUGAGCCACGAAAGGAUCAUGUCAUGAUGAUACUGAUGAUGAGACUCCGGUCUUAUGAAACUUACUUAGGCAUCCUUUAGUUUACUAGGGAUCUUUUGGUACAAAGGUCAUGUGCAUGAACAAUCUGACUCAGUUAACUUUUGAUCCACUUGUGAAUUGUUCUUAUUUCUUCAUGAUGACCCAAAGAGAAUGGUUUUUGAGUCGGUUGUUUGCUUUAGAAAGGCAAACACCUUAAAAUUCAUCACCAAUAACAAAAUGAAUCUUAAAAUUCAUCACCAAUAACAAAAUGAAUUUCCUUAUCUUCAAAAGUCCACAAAUUUUAUUCGUUAACAUCAUCUUUCACUGGUUAGUUGCUAUAAGAGUACGUCUAAAGUCAAACCACUUUGUUGGAAUAUCAUCGUUUUCCUUAAACACUAUUUCCUUCCCGGCCUCUCACCAUAAUCUUCUCCUCCUCAAUCCCCUGUCUGCCUUUUAACCUCUAAAUAAAGUGAUAAAAGGUUCUUUGUAAUAAAGCUUAUUGGUCCAUAAGUCCAUUGCAAAAUAUACCAAUACUACAAAAUCCUAUUAAUCGAAAUAUACUAUUCCCUCCAUGGCUCCAUCCUUGGUUCAUCCCAUGACAGGUUUAAAGCUUAGGGUGAGCCACUUUCUCAUGUAGUCGUGGAUAUGCCUUCUAUGUGUGCCAACAUAAAAUAUUUCAACUCUCUGCCUCUAAUUUAGUCAGCUUCUAAAAUCAGAGGAGUUUUUGACCCACUUAACAUAUUCUAGUGACUUUACAAUUGGACAUAUGCAGAGAGGUUCUUCAAAAAAAUUAUCUUACUUACCACCUUUUGUCACCAAUAUCAGAUUUUUAAUUUGGUUUUACCAUAGGGAAUAGAUUUUCUGUACUGAUCCUGAUUUACAGGAACCUACAAAGUUGGACAACAUUAAGACUUUUUAAUUCCUUCUAUCCCAGAGCUCCUAAGUACACGUGUAACAAGUGCACGAUAAUGCUAACAAGAAAAACAUCCUAUCUUUACUUGAUUUGAUUCCAUUUCCCUUACCUUGAUUAAAAAUAUGGUUAAAGAUAUAAAUUAAACAAUUAACUAUAGAAAAGGGACUAGAUUAUGGAGGAGCUGAACUAGGAUUGCUUCAUUAUCACCCUGAUGGCGAAUAAAAGCAAGUGUUCAGGUAUGUUCUCUUUACACUAGCUAGUGUUUUUUCAGAAUUAUAAAUAAUUAGUACACGCGGAUUAACCAUUGUUUAGAAGGAAUUAUUAAGUGAUUCGGUUAGAUAUUUUUUUUCACUUUUCAAUGAUUUGCAUACUAGAUUCUCCAUUUCUCCUAAUUGUUUAAACACUAAAGUUCUGUAAACAGAUAAACUUUGAUCAAUUUAAAAUCAUUUAACCACCCUGAACAUUAACCUACCCAAUUGAGUUGAACCGUCAUUUUCAUACCUGAAGGAAUAUAUUUCAUUUUUAUCUUUAUAAUAACUUUAUGGACCACUAAAAUAUGCACCAAAAACUCACUACUUAAGGCCCCCUUCAGUUAGUGAAGAAGCCAACCACACAAAGGUAAACACAUCAGUAUACACUACACACACACAACAAAAAUAGCAGAGAUGGGAGUGGUCAGGACAUCCUUCUUCAGAGCAGCAGAACCUUCAUCGACUCUCAGAUAUGUGAGGCCGAAUCAGACUUUUCCAACUGCCGCGUUGGUGGACUAUGUUGUCAACCAUGAUGCCAAACCUCAGAUGGCACGAAAAGUUUCGUUCAUCACAGGGGACAGUUAUAACUCUUACAAGCCAAAUUCAGCCGAGGAGUCCAGUAACUACUUUGGAGCUCCUGCUGAUGAUUGUGUUGAUUUUAAGGCUGCUAACUACAUCCUCCAAAGGAAACUCAGCCUUCAAUAUGAUUCUGAUUAACAGCCGAGCUCUUACUAUGAAUGUAGAGCUUGAAAGUUGUCUUAAUUCUCUGCUUUCUGGCUUUAUAGUCUAUGACUUUGUUUUUAGGAGUUGGAAACUGGAAGCACUAUGUAAGUUUUCUUAAUGAAACUAGCAUCAUGUGUAACAAAACCAUAAACAUAUAUAAAUCUUCUGUUCUCUUGUACUUCCUUA